ACAAUGCGAUACGAUACGACACGAUACCGGUCGUGAGAAAAAUGAUAUUUGAAAAAAGUGAUACUCACCCCCCAAAAAAUGUAGGGAAAGAAAUAAUUCUUGAAAAUUGGUGUUAUUUAUUUCUCGAAGUGAGAGAUGACACGCCACGCCACGAUACGACACGGUACGAUACGACAUGAUACGUGUUAUUAAAAGUGUUAUUAUUCUCACCCACAAAAAAAGUACAAAAUGAAACAAAAUGCAUUUAGAAAGACUUUAAAUGAUUUGCGAUAUGACACGAAAUGAUACGAAACGAGAAAAUUCCAAAUUUUUCGAGUUAUUAUUAUUAUUUCUUUCCUCAGCGAACUCGGCAAAAAAAUUCGGCCAGAAAAAAAAUCCUGCGACCAACAAAAGAAAAUAAAUGGGACGAAAAUUGAAAUUAUGGUAGAAUAAAAAAGCGGCGGAGCACGGCACAAAUAAUAAUGGCCACGAAAAUAACUGAUUCCAGAUUGCAACUCAAUAGAAAAAAACCAGAAAUUUUUAAAUCGGUAAGAUUUUUACUGCAAAAAAGUGAAACGAAAUAAAUAAGGACAGACUAAAAAAAUCGGCUACGAAUUUAUUUUAUUGGGAAAAAAGCGGUAGUGACAAGAAAAACCAGUCAUGCCGCAUGUUUAUUGUCAAGUGUAUUGUCAAGCCAUCUCUCCUCGCGAAUUGUUUCUUCGUCGAAAUGUUCAGAUUUCUUCCUCCAUUCUUGAUCUGCAUCUCAUGACAUGUCACGUGUCACCUUCAAAAGAUUUAGUUUAGCUGUGUCUUGUAAUUUUUAAUUAAUUAGUAAGUCCGAUCUAUAAAUGCAUCGGCAAAGAUUCCUGUGGCUUAUAGUCACCUUAUAAUUUUGUCCAGCCGUGUCUUGAUUUUAAACCAGUAAGUCCGAUGUUCAACGAUCGGCAGUAAAACUUCUGAUAUUUGUCUCCUUCAGAAUGUUUAAUUUUGUUGAUAAGUGUAAUGGCACUAUGCCGUCUCCAAAAGUAACUUUUAACAUUUUGAAUUAGAAAAACAUUGUAAGUCCGAUCUUCAACGAUCGGCAGGGAAACACUUGUGGCAUUAUGUCGCCUUUAACUCUCUUCGAUUAAGAGUAAGUCCAGUCUGCAACGAUUGGCAAAACGCGUUAGACAUUAUUGUCGUCAGUUUUCAUACAUAUAUGUACAUGUAUUGAUAGCAUUAAUGGAUUUAUCAAAGUGAGCCUCUUGUUUCUUCCCCCCCCCCUCCCCCUCAAAAGAACUAUGACUAUUUUGUUGGCCGGGUUUAAAAUAAGUACCGGAAGUCUUUUCUAACCAUCUGUGGAGAUACGGUGUGACCUAGCUAGGCUGGGUCGAGUUUUCUUUCUCCCUGUAGCUCAUUCAGCUGAGAGAUGAACAUCUACAAGCCUAAGACUGACUGGAUGAGGAGAGGCUGCUUUUUCAGGAUGGAAACGAAUCCCUCUGAGGAACCGGAAGCAGGGAGGAGGACCGACGGAUGAACGGAUGACUCUGCUUGCAGGGCUACCCAUUUCUGAUUCCUAAGAGGAUGGAAACUAGAAUACCUGGAUGAAAAUGGAUAGAUGAAGAAGCUUCUGGUUGAGGAUGACCUUCCCUCCCCAUCCCACUUCAGCUGGAACUAAGGAGCCGGAAGCAGGGAGGAGGACCAACAGAUGAACGGAUGACCUGCUUGUUGGGCUUCCCAUUACUUAUUUUAAAAAAAAUGGAGUCUGGUAUACAUGGAUGAGACUGGCUGGAUGAAGAAGCUGCAGGUUGAGGAUCCCCUUGCCCUUCCCACCCCACUUGAGCUGGAACUAAGGAGCCGGAAGCAGGAAGGAGGACCAACAGAUGAACGGAUGACCUGCUUGUCGGGCUUCCCAUUUCUGAGUUUGCAAAAAUGGAGCCUGGAUGAGAGUGGCUAGAUGAAGAAGCUUUUGGUUGAGGAUGACCUUUCCCUCCCCAUCCCACUUCAGCUGGAUCUAAGGAGCCGGAAGCAGGGAGGAGGACCAAUAGAUGACUGUUGACUCUGCUUAUUGAACUUGCCGUUUGAGAUUUGUAAGGUAGAUUUACUAAACCAAAAUUACUGGUCACACAUUGAUGUAAAAAGGAGGACAAUGCCUGGAGCAUUGCCUUCACAGCUACAAUCAUGAAACAAAGUGCAAGAGUUUUUAAAGGACAUGGAUAAGGAAGCACAACUUACACAAGAAAAUAUCAAAAUAAAUGAAAGUCUCUUUUACUUUGUUCCUAGCCAAAUAAGAAUUGUUACUAAUGUGACCUAGUUCGCCUAGGCCGAGAAGCUUUUUUUAUUUUACAGGAUGGAGAUUGUCAUAGGAAAUAUCUCAAGCCAUUACUUCAGGAGAAUGAAAGAUGUCUGGCAACCGGAAGCAGGGAAUGACUGAUGAGCCUACUUGCUCAACAUUACAUUUGUGAUACAUGAGAUUCGCCAAGAUGUCAGCCAUCAACGACAUAGGAAGAUGGCUUGCCGGCUACCGCUGCCAAGCCCACCACUUACCAGAACAAGAAAUUAAUUAAAACCACCAACCCCACCCCUUAGCAGAACAAGAAAUUGAUAAAAAUUCACUGCAACAAAUGAAAUUAGAAUAUAAUUCCUGACUUUGGACUAAGUAAUUUUUUUUAAGGCUAUGGGACACCCCCGUCCUGCCUAGUUGAAUCAGCCUGCCUCAUGCACUAACAAAACGGUGCUCAAACCUUUGAGAAUUCUUUUCAGUCAAAAAUCAUCAAGACAUGGAAAUUACACUGUGCUUAUGUUGUUGCUUUUGUUUGCAUGUUCGCAUGAUUUCACUGUUCCAUUUUGGCAUGUGUUGUUCCUGCAUGUUUUAUCAUAUCGCACCUUUUUGUUUUUAAGAAGCAAAAAGAUAACCACAGUGUAUGUCCAUAGUCUGACAAUUAUUAUAUUAAAAAACUCAAAACAUAUUAAGCUAAAUUUA
rnacentral:lncRNA from 1 species